GUAGGGAAUAUUGGGCAAUGGUCGGAAGACUGACCCAGCCAUGCCGCGUGCAGGAAGACGGCCCUCUGGGUUGUAAACUGCUUUUAUCUGGGAAGAAAAAGGCCAUGCGUGGCAAAUUGCCGGUACCAGAUGAAUAAGCACCGGCUAACUCCGUGCCAGCAGCCGCGGUAAUACGGAGGGUGCGAGCGUUGUCCGGAUUUAUUGGGUUUAAAGGGUGCGUAGGCGGCUGAUUAAGUCAGCGGGGAAAGACUUCGGCUUAACCGGAGCAGUGCCGUUGAUACUGGUUGGCUUGAGUGUCGGAGGGGUACAUGGAAUUGAUGGUGUAGCGGUGAAAUGCAUAGAUACCAUCAGGAACACCGAUAGCAAAGGCAUUGUACUGGCCGACAACUGACGCUGAUGCACGAAAGUGUGGGGAUCGAACAGGAUUAGAUACCCGUGUAGUCC
rnacentral:rRNA from 1 species